UUCUGACCUCGAAUCAGGUGGGACUACCCGCUGAACUUAAGCAUAUCAAUAAGCGGAGGAAAAGAAACUAACAAGGAUUCCCUUAGUAACUGCGAGUGAAGUGGGAUGAGCUCAAAUUUAAAAUCUGGUGGUCUUUGGCUGCCCGAGUUG
rnacentral:rRNA from 1 species